CAUGAUGCCCACGCUGGCCUCAAACUCCUUACUUAGGUGAUCCACCUGCCUCGGCCUCCUAAAGUUCUGGGAUUACAGGUGUGAUCCACCGUGCCUGGCCAAGAAGUCAUCUGUAUUAGAUCUACUCUUUGGAAUCACUUUGAGGUUUUGUGUCCUUUCAUGUGACAUGGCCGUGAGCAUGACAGAUGUCACUGUGGGCCUCAUGAACAAAUUAUCCAACCUGGAAAUGGCUGUGGGAAAUUCCUGAACCUGCAGUUGGCAUCAGAAGGCCUGGGCAGACUUGGCCAGCCAUCUGGAGCACUGUCCCCAUAAACUCAGGUUUGCCUUACAUCAGGUACUAUGUAAAAAACAGUGAAAUUCAAAUAGGUCUGUGGAUAAUAGUACUGUACCAAGCUUGUUAGAACAAGUUUAUCUGUGUCUACAAAAAAAAUAAAUAAAUAAAUGCUGAGAUUCUCAUGGCAAUUGUGUUAAACCUAAUAGACCAAUUUGGGGAUAAUUAAUACCUUUUUUUGAGACAGGGAAAUAGUGUUCACUUUUAAAUUUCAGUGCACAGUUGUUCAUUGCUGAUAUAUAGAAAUACAAAUGCUUUUUGUAUGUUAACUUUGUAUCUUGUGGCCUUACUAAACUCACUUGUUAAUUCUAGAAGGGUUUUUCUUUUUUAAAAAGAUUUGUUGGGAUUUUCUGUGUAGACAAUUAUGUUAUCUGUGAUUUUCUCCUUUCCAGGCUCUUUUCCAAUGAUUUUAACUUUUCUUGCCAUGUUACACGGGCCAGGACUUGUAAUACUAUGCUGAAUAGGAGUGGUGAGGCCGGCCACCGUCGGACCUUAUCCUAUGGGGAAAGAAUUCGGUUUUUCAUCAUGAAGUAUGAUGUUAGCUGUCGGUUUUUUGUCGAUGUUCUUUAUGAGGUUGAAGAAGUUUCCUUCAAUUCCUAGUUUGAGAGUUUUUAUUACAAAUGGGGAUUGAAUUUUAUCAAGUGCCUUUUCUGCAUUAAUUGAUAUAACCAUGUGUUUUUCCUUCUUCAGACUAUUAAUAUAGUGAGUUAGUGUGAUUUUGAAUGUUUGCAUUCCAUUUCUGGAUUAACCCCACCACGUCAUAGUGUCUUAUAGUCUUUGCACAUGGCUAGGUCUGCUUUACUGAGACUUUAUUGAGAACUUUUGUGCAUACAUUCAUAAAGGAUGGUGGACCCUAGUACUGUUUUUCUCUAGUUUUGGUAUCAGAAUCAUUGUUGGCCUCAUGAGAAGUGCUGUCUCCCCUUUUAUUUUUGGAAGACAGUGUAUAGAAUUAAUAUUUCUUUACAUGUUUAGUAAAAUUCACCAGUGACAUCAUCUGGCUUCAGAAAGUGCUUUUGGAUGGGUUUCAGCUUCAGAUUCUCUUUCAUCUUCAGUGAGUUUUUGGUAGUUUUUGGUUUUCAGGGAAUUGGUUUAUUUCAUCUAACCUGUUGACUUUGGGCACAUAAAGAUGUACACAGUGCUAUUUGUUAUUGCUGGGAUAUCUUGAAAGAUUGGUGGCGAUACAUGUUCUUUUCAUUCCUGACAUUGGUCAUUUGUUUCUCUGCCCUUUUUUCUUUGAUAAGCUUCUUGCAAGGGAGUUUUAUUGAUCUUUUCAAAGAACUAGGUUUUGAUUUUCCUCUUUUGGCUUUAGUUUGAUUUCUGCUCUUUAUUUUGGUGACUGUUUCUGUGCUACUCAUGGAUGGUGUGUUGUACAAAUAUAAAUCAAGCUAAGUUGCUUAAUGGUGGUGUCCAAGUCUACUGUAUCCUUAAUGAAAAGAUCUUUGUUUUCAUGUCUACUUUAUACUUUGUUAGCAUUUUUGUCUUACUACAACUUUAUCCCUAUUUUUUCCUCCAAAAGUUUUAUUUUAUAGGGUAUAAACAAGAGUUAAGAGUCAUUUUGAUUGCUAUUGCAAAUGCCAAUUGACCCUGGUUUUUUGGUUAUUUAUUUUUUAAUGGGAAGUAUAUUUCUUGGGCCAGCAAUGUGCCAAGGGCUCGUGAAAAGUGGAGCAGGAAGCCUCCCCGCCGCUGGGGGAAGCACCCCUUAGCAGACUGUGUAAGCGGCGUAAUUCAGCCCUAACCUCUUAAUGGUUCCAUGGGUUGGCAGCUUCGGGGAAUGCCGCCCACUGCUCUGCAGGUUUCUUCUCCAGCCAGCCCUGUGUGUGCGUCUCAUGAGGUUGGCCUGCCUGUGCAUCUCUUCCUGUAGCCGUGCAUGGUGUUAUAGGUUAUAGAGGGGCUUUUUCCCAGGCUGCGAAUCCUGCCUUGGAGGACUUUGGACUCUGCCUGGAACCCGGGCCAGGUUCCACUCUGAUCUUCUUUAUCUUGUUCUGCCCCAGCUGUUACCACCCCCGGCAGCCUUCUGCAUAGCUACUGUGGCCGGGUGCAAUAGUUGCUUUUACCUGACAACUUGACCAGGCUGAGCUGAUUUCGUCAAACAAUGGUCUAGAUGGUGCCGUGUAAUUAAUACGUAAGUCAAGAGGUUUGAAGUAAAACAGAUGAUCUUUCAUAAUGUGAGUGGGCCUUAUCCAGUCAGUUGAAGACUGUAAGAGAAAAGGCUGAGCUCCCUUGAGGAGGAAUUUCUGCCUUCAGUCUGCACCACCCGCUCUUCCCUGGGUCUCCAAGAUGCUGGCCUGCCCUCAAGAUGCGAGACUUGCCAGCCACAACAGUCCUAUGAGCAGUUCCUUAAGCCUCUGCAUCUCUCUCCAUCCUGUUGGUUUUGUUUCUCUGGUGAGGCCUGACUAGUAGCUGGGGGGUUCUAGUUCUGUCCUCAUUUCUUGAGAGAUGAAGAUGGGGUUCCCCUUCUGGUUCUCGUUGGCGGUUCUGGCCUGGCUUCACGCAGGAGAACAGCAUGGAGACCUGUCUCCUCUGCCAUCUUUCCCAUGGAAGAGCUGAUCUGUUUUACGAAGUCUUUGGGGCUGUGGGAUAUAAAGCUUGUCUGCAGGCAGGAGGAGAUAUUGCAUUUCCUGGUUCUAGAGAAAAAGGC